rnacentral:piRNA from 1 species
UAAGGACUUCUACCUCUUUAGCAGUGUUC